rnacentral:rRNA from 1 species
ACGCACGCUGGCGGCGUGCUUAACCCAUGCAAGUCGAACGAAAAUACCAAGCUUGCUUGGUUGAUUAGUGGCGAACGGGUGAGUAACACGUGAGUAACCUGCCCCUUACUUUCCUGGAUAACUGCUCGAAAGGGUAGCUAAUACGGGAUAUUCUGACCAGCCUGCAUGGGUUGGUUUGGAAAGGUUGUUUUUCUGGUAAGGGAUGGGCUCGCGGCCUAUCAGCUUGUUGGUGGGGUGAUGGCCUACCAAGGCUUUGACGGGUAGCCGGCCUGAGAGGGUGGACGGUCACACUGGGACUGAGAUACGGCCCAGACUCCUACGGGAGGCAGCAGUGGGGAAUAUUGCACAAUGGGCGCAAGCCUGAUGCAGCGACGCCGCGUGAGGGAUGAAGGCCUUCGGGGUGUAAACCUCUUUCGUCAGGGAACAAGGCACUGCUUUUGUGGUGGUGUUGAGGGUACCUGGAUAAGAAGCGCCGGCUAACUACGUG